rnacentral:rRNA from 1 species
UACGUAGGGUGCGAGCGUUGUCCCGGAAUUAUUGGGCGUAAGAGCUUGUAGGCGGUCUGUCGCGUCUGCUGUGAAAAUCCGGGCUCAACCCCGGACUUGCAGUGGGUACGGGCAGACUAGAGUGUGGUAGGGGAGACUGGAUUCCUGGUGUAGCGGUGAAAUGCGCAGAUAUCAGGAGGAACACCGAUGGCGAAGGCGGUCUCUGGGCCAUAACUGACGCUGAGAGCGAAGCUGGG